AACGAACGCUGGCGGCAUGCCUAACACAUGCAAGUCGAACGAGACCUUCGGGUCUAGUGGCGCACGGGUGCGUAACGCGUGGGAACCUGCCCUUAGGUUCGGAAUAACUCCCCGAAAGGGGUGCUAAUACCGGAUAAUGUCUUCGGACCAAAGAUUUAUCGCCUUUGGAUGGGCCCGCGUUGGAUUAGCUAGUUGGUAGGGUAAAAGCCUACCAAGGCGACGAUCCAUAGCUGGUCUGAGAGGAUGAUCAGCCACACUGGGACUGAGACACGGCCCAGACUCCUACGGGAAGCAGCAGUGGGGAAUAUUGGACAAUGGGCGAAAGCCUGAUCCAGCAAUGCCGCGUGAGUGAUGAAGGCCUUAGGGUUGUAAAGCCCUUUUACCCGGGAUGAUAAUGACAGUACCGGGAGAAUAAGCUCCGGCUAACUCCGUA
rnacentral:rRNA from 1 species